ensembl:ncRNA lncRNA:CR43978 long non-coding RNA:CR43978
ACGUUUCCGGACGUCUUACAUUGGGAAUUGUUAUUCCUGUAUUGUAUUCACAAUCAGUCACUUAGAAAGUCGCCUUGGAAGCGGAAACAUGUCUUCGUCAGGGUGACUUAAGCUGUGGCAAAUUGAUUCUCCAAUCAGAGACGGUGGCAUUCUUUUCCAUUCCGUUCGAAAUGCAUUAGGCGUAGGUACCCGACAACACCCUUGGCAUUGUCAACGCCUGGAAAGGAAUCCGGAGGGACCCGCACGAGGAGGGCGAUCCACUUGGGUAUUGAUAAAUGCGUUGAAAACUAAGCGACCGCCCAGUGGAUUACCACGGCCCCACGCCAGGCUGCCCGAUUCCCGAUCCUCGACACCCCUCCCGCUGCCAGCUCGCGAUGAGGAGCAAUCGACAACAAUCGCUGGUCAAAUUCAAUUGGCGCAAUUUUUCAUCUGUGGCUCCCAGGGAUCCGAUCUGGCGGAUCCUUUUGGCUCUGCCUGCUGCCGUCUAUUGUUGCCCUGGGCCUUGGCAAUUGUUCUCGGCUCUGGAUCUCUGGAGCUAUGGGGCCAUGGAGCCACGGGGCCAUGGGCUAUGGAGGUAUAUGGCUGCGGAGCCCUUGGGCUCAAGGUUGUUUAUUUUGAAAAAUCACCAUCACCCGAUCGUGGCUUGUGCCGACGGCUGGGGAUUUAAUUCUGUUCUGGACAUUUAUAAAUUGCAUUCAAUUUAUACACAACACGAAAGCGUGAUUUUUACAUUUUUACAAUCUAGCGAAUAAUAGAUCAGCGUCGUAUUAUUGCGGACUCCUUGCUCCAAUGCUCUUUGGGGCCAUACCUUCUUUGGGUCUCCAGCCCGUGCCGUGGACUGGUAGUUGAUUGAAAGUAGUGUUGCUCAGGCAACAACUAAACCAAUAAAAUACGCAAAUAUCUAUAAUAUUAUUAUUUAUAUAUUCCGUUGAAAUUGAAAUUAUCCUAUCUU